rnacentral:rRNA from 1 species
CCUACGGGUGGCAGCAGUGGGGAAUAUUGGACAAUGGGGGGAACCCUGAUCCAGCCAUGCCGCGUGUGUGAAGAAGGCCCUCGGGUUGUAAAGCACUUUCAGUGAGGAAGAACGCCUGGUGGUUAAUACCCAUCAGGAAAGACAUCACUCACAGAAGAAGCACCGGCUAACUCCGUGCCAGCAGCCGCGGUAAUACGGAGGGUGCGAGCGUUAAUCGGAAUUACUGGGCGUAAAGCGCGCGUAGGUGGCUUGAUAAGCCGGUUGUGAAAGCCCCGGGCGCAACCUGGGAACGGCAUCCGGAGCUGUCAAGCUGGAGUGGAGGAGAGGAAGGUGGAGUGGGCGGUGGAGCGGUGAAAGGCGUAGAGAUCGGGAGGAGUACCAGUGGCGAAGGCGGCGUGCGGGACGGGGGCUGAGGCUGAGGUGGGAGAGCGUGGGGAGCGAGCAGGAGGAGAGAGCCGGGGAGGG